AGACGUAGGGGCCGAGCGUUGUCCGGAGUUACUGGGCGUAAAGGGCGCGCAGGCGGCCGGUCGCAUCGGCGGUGAAAGCCCCCCGCUCAACGGGGGAGGGUCCGUCGAGAUGGAUCGGCUGGAGGCAGGGAGAGGGCGGUGGAAUUCCGGGUGUAGUGGUGAAAUGCGUAGAGAUCCGGAGGAACACCAGUGGCGAAGGCGGCCGCCUGGACCUGACCUGACGCUGAGGCGCGAAGGCGUGGGGAGCGAACGGGAUUAGAUACCCCGGUAGUCCACGCAGUAAACGAUGGGCACGAGGUGUGGCGGGAGUUGACCCCUGCCGUGCCGGCGCUAACGCAGUAAGUGCCCCGCCUGGGGAGUACGGCCGCAAGGCUAAA
rnacentral:rRNA from 1 species